AGUGAAGCGGCAACAGCUCAAAUUUGAAAUCUGGCCUCGGCCCGAGUUGUAAUUUGCAGAGGAUGCUUUUGGUGCGGUGCCUUCCGAGUUCCCUGGAACGGGACGCCACAGAGGGUGAGAGCCCCGUAUGGUCGGACACCAAUCCUGUGUAAAGCUCCUUCGACGAGUCGAGUAGUUUGGGAAUGCUGCUCUAAAUGGGAGGUAAAUCUCUUCUAAAGCUAAAUACCGGCCAGAGACCGAUAGCGCACAAGUAGAGUGAUCGAAAGAUGAAAAGCACCUUGAAAAGGGGGUUAAACAGUACGUGAAAUUGUUGAAAGGGAAGCACUUGUGACCAGACUUGGGCCGGGCGGCUCAUCAGGGGUUCUCCCCUGUGCAUUCCGCCCGGUACAGGCCAGCAUCGGUUCUUACCGGGGGAUAAGAACGGCAGGAACGUGGCUCCCCCUCGGGGGAGUGUUAUAGCCUGCCGUACGAUACCCUGGCGGGGACCGAGGUUCGCGCUUCCGCAAGGAUGCUGGCGUAAUGGUUACUAGUGACCCGUCUUGAAACACGGACCAAGGAGUCGUCCAUUAGAGCGAGCGUUUGGGUGUAAAACCCGCACGCGUAAUGAAAGUGAAAUUAGGUGAGAGCUUCGGCGCAUCAUCGACCGAUCCUGAUGUUCUCGGAUGGAUUUGAGUAAGAGUUUUAACGGACGGACCCGAAAGACAGUGAACUAUGCUUGUAUAGGGUGAAGCCAGAG
rnacentral:rRNA from 1 species